AUGGCCAUACCACCCUGAACGCGCCCGAUCUCAUCAAGCUAAGCAGGGUCGGGCCUGGUUAGUACUUGGAUGGGAGACAAAAGAAAGGAAUUCAGUAUGUCAAAAAUA
rnacentral:rRNA from 1 species